rnacentral:lncRNA from 1 species
CUGAUAUAAAUGGAAUCUUGAAGGUGCAUCAAAAAUUCUGUCUUUUGAGAGGAUAAGGAAAAAAAAGCCACCGUGGCUCUUUGUUUGGAACAGGGCAUAUUCAAGUGGAAUGUACCCUUGGAACAAAGUCAGAGUUUGGCAGCAGCUGGAGUAUUUUGCCCUGUCCGAUGGGCAGGGUAGCCUAUUUUGUUGGGUUAGAAAUGGCCACUGUGAAGCCUAUAAAAUGUUCUGAAGUAACACUGUAAGGGACUGUUGAAGGGUGAUGCAAAGGAGCCUUGUCAAGAGACCAUCUGCUCUCGUGUCAGCUGAACCUAACUGGAAAAGUACACGGAGUUCUUGAGACAAUUUGAUCAGUAAAGACAAACUAAAAAAGUACUCAACCAAAGAUGCCGUGUAAAUUAGCCCCAAAGCACAUCCCCCAAGCACACACAGCUCUUAAUGUUGCAUCGUUACAGCUGAUAUCAAGUAUACCAGGGCAGAAAAGGCAUAAACUCAAAGAAUCAAGAUCAAAGUGGAUCUAGAUUCCUUUUCCAAACAGAACAUUGCUUUAUGUGCCCUUUAAACUGUUCCACUUUUAAUUGAAUUAGUCACACUUGGUGGCAGAUACCCUUUAAUCCUUUGUCACAGGCUAGACUUGCAUAUUUUAAAACAGCUUAAGAGACAUCUUGUCAAUGAGAUAAUCACUUUUUCCUCAGUUCGGAUUAUCAUAAACUAAAUAUUUUCACCCGAUAGAAUGAAUAAGUGUAGUCAAAAAGAAAAAUCUAAAAUGAAGCCAGGCCUCAUUGGGUCUCAAAUGUAUACUAACAGUAAACGCCAUCUGAAGAUUAUAAACAUAUCUGUUAUUUCACAUUCCCUCCAUCUAUAAACCCCCCAGACAUCUACCUGAAUACUAGGACAAGCCAUGCAGUGAGGAGACAGAUAGUCUUGCUAGGCAUAUGCUGUGAGGAGAAAUACAUCCAUUGAGCAUUCUCAGAAAGCAAACUAGAAAGCAGUUCUCAGAACUCACUGUAGAGCUCUUGACAUUAAGCACUGUAUGUUAUCAGCUCACUGGAGUCCACAAAGCCUCUAUGCGGCUGUGAUUAACCCUGUUUUACAGACCAGAGAAAUAAGACACAAAUAACCUGGCAAAAUUUACUGUUGGAGCAGAUAACUUUUUUUCCAUCAAAUCUUUGAAGGACAACAAAUACAAUCAAUACACAACCUUUUUCCUUUCUAGUCACUGAAACUCAUUCAACUGAUUAUCAUCACUUUCUAGGAUGUCAAGGUGGUACGAAUCUACUGAAUGAGGACUGUGUUUGGUCAAUUACUACACAACCACCCAAGUCACUCGGGUUCUCCCAGUUCACUAAUAAUGCCAUUUAGAUCUACAGUGACAGUUAUGACCCUCAUGCUGGUCAUGAUUCCUUGGUCACUUUGUAUCUGGAAUUGUUCCUUCAUCUUUCAUUACCUUUCAGAGCCUUGAUAUAUUUUUUUAAACUACAGGCCAGGAAUUUGCAGGAGUCUGCAAUGGGAUGUGUUCAGUAUUUCCUCAUGAUUAGAUGCAAGUUUUGUAUCAUCAUUAGCAGGGACAUUCUCAAGGUCACUCUGAGUUGGCAUGUGUGCCAUCAGGAGAUAUCCCAUUACUGGUGUCUUUGCCUUGGUCACUUAGUAAGGUAGUGUCACACAGAAUUCUCCACCAUAAUGUCAGCCAUUUACCCCAUAUAAUUAGUGUUUGGGGGAAAGGUCCUUUGAAGGUAUUUGUUUAUUUAUGUCACCAUAAACCCUGUGGGUUUAUCCGAUGGGUUGGCGAAUACUACAGUUGUUAUUUUGAUGUUCAAAGUGUCUUUGGUCUGGCCACCAGAAGCCUAUUCCUCCUGCCUCUCUGUCACUAGAGUUCUCAUCUUAGAGCAUGUUUUUUUAAAAAAUUAAUUUGAACAGUAAGCCUUUUAAGGUUCAUCUUGUACUUUCCUUGCUGUGACCCUGUAAUUCACUGCUUUUCCAAGGACACUUAUUUUAUUUGCACGAAGAAUUGCCCUUAGCAAGCCAAGACCUGUGUUUGAGUGUGGUUAUUGCUGCUUCAGACACCCUGCUAGGUAGAAAUAGGAUGUGCUUGCAUGGGUACACAUUCAUGCAUGUGCAUAAGGAAAAUAAUUUUCAUGAAGAUGCAUGUUUAUACCUGUUGUACCAGGGUGGUCUUUCUUUCUAGUCUUUCCGUUUCCAUAUUCGUAAUGCCAUUUAGAUAGUGAGAAACCGAGAGCCUGCAUUCUUAAUGUACUCUGUAGGAUCAGCAUGGUUUUUUUUAAUCUCUAAACUGGUUAUAGCUAUAAAACAUUUCAGGAGGCCAUGAAGUGUAGCAGGCAGAACACAGGGCCAGGGCCAACUACUGGAUUUUCACUUGGUAUGUAACCUUGAACAACUGACUCAACAUCUCUGAGCCUUGUUCCUUGGACUUAAAAAUGCUUUCCCCACCUACCCCUGCAAGCUACCAGAGUGGCUGUGAUGUUUAAAUGAAUACCGAACAGUUGCUCUGUACAGCAUCUGGCAGGUAGAACCAGUCAAAUAUGACCCCCCCCCAAAUAUGCAUCCCCAUGCUUCUUACCACAAUGUGAAGUCAGAAUUAUAAGACCUAUCACCCCACUGAGGGGGAACAAUAGAAAGCCCAACAAAAGUUAAAGUGAUCACAUGAUUCCUAAGUGCUGGAGACAGCAACAGGGCAUCAAAGGUUGCAAUUCUAUGGACUCCUCACCCUUUCUGGGCAUUUCCGGGGUAAAGUAGAAGCAGGAGGGGAGAAGAUGCUCCAACAAUAAUGGACCCAUUAUUGAGGGCACUCUGUCACUGAAUUUCCAUCUUCAUGCUCAGCUAUGUAACAAUACCUAAGUUUACCUUUGAUUGACUGGAUGCCUGUUAACACCAAGAACAUCCCAAAACUCAUUGCUAAUCCUCCCUACACCCCUUCAAGAAAAGUAGUACUUUGUCCAUGUCAUAAAUCAGUAGCCCGAAUCUUUCAAAGUAAAUAAAUAACUUCCUCAAGGCUAUGCAGCCAGUCUCUGGCUGGGUGCAACCCUAGUGCCAGCUUCCUUUCUGUCCAGUCCAUGCCACAUCCUGAGAAGCACACAGGAUGUACCCGGUCAGUCUAUUAGAGGAAUUCUGGACAGGUCCGUUUGAACAAAGAAACCAAUUAAACUUGCUGAAAACAAGCUCGGGACAUGCUUUGUCCUGUUCCCAGCUUUCUCUGCGCCCCGUUUCAGGAAAUUGGAGAGCACAAUGACUGGAGUCCUUGGUGUCUUGUUGCCAUAGCAUUCCUCCAGCCCAGCUGGAUGAGCUGGCAUCUGUUUAGGAACUAAAAAGACUCCCAGAGCAACUGGAGUGAAUCCAGCACCAUAGACCCAACCCUUUUCUGUUCGUAGUUUGUUUCUUCUGGAGCCUUGCGCACAUGGGGUGUGUCUGCGCCCUUGUCUGUUGGAUGUAUACAUUGUCUAUUGAAUGAUUUGCUUCCCCAACUAAAUAUCAAAUUCUUGGGAGGCAAGGGAACUCUUUGUCAUCCUUGUCUUUUAUAUAACAGCCCAAUACAUCCCUAAAAAUGUACUUGUUACCUGGAUGGACAGAUGCAUAGGACUGAUAAUUCAUCCUUAGUGGUGCGUGAAAGGGGUUGAAAAGGGAGAGAGAGGCCAGUUAAGAGCUAAAUGGGACAUACUAUACAUUUCCAUAGCAAAUAGUUUAGAUAGACAGAAGUUUUUAGAAACAUUAGAGAAGCUUAUGGGUACCAGGCAUGGAGUUCAGAGAAACACCGCCUGGGGUGAGUUCUCUCUCUGGUCCUUAACUUCUGUGGAACCCUCAGCAAGCCACUAAAGCUAAGUGUUCGAUGAGGUAGUU